AAUAACAAGAAGGUAAGCGUGGCUCUGACCAACCCACCCAACAACAGGAAGAAUGGCUGAAAAAGAAUCUACAUUAUCACACCUUCUGGUCCCUAUUCUUCUCUUGAUUGGCUGGAUUGUGGGAUGCAUCGUAAUGGUUUAUGUUGUCUUCUCAUAGAAAGGCAAGAAGACUUCAGAUUGACAUCAUUUAGAAGAAUUAAGAAAAUCAUGAAAAUGACAAGAUAAUUAAACGUUUCUCAUGUAAAUAACAGCAAUGUUUGACAUCAGUUUAUUAACUUGGAUUUGUAAACUGGUUCUUUAGUGGGCUUAAGAAUCACUUUAUUCUAAAGUGUUUAAGCAUGUUUAAAAUUCUGGGUACAAAUAAGAACUACAAGAAAAUAUAGAUGAAUUUCUCUAUAAGCUUGGGGUAGAAAAAAAUGCUCUCAACCAUGACUUAAAAUGGAUAAGCAAUAGGAAGUUUUGUAACUUAUAUUAGAAAAUUUUGGUCAUCCCUCAGAUAUAUAGAAUAUGUAGAAAAAUAUAUAGAAAAAUGAGUUAGAGAUACAAUGAGCUAGAGAUACGAAGAGAUAGUUCACAGAAAACAAAAAUUUAAGUAUAAACUUAACCUUUAACCUCUUUUAAUAAGAGAACUAUAAUUAACAGUGCAUUUAAGAACCAUUGCUCAGCUUUAAGAUAGGAAAAAAUGAAGAUAUUUGGCAAUAUAUGUACUGGGAAAGCUUGCAGAAGUAACUAUGCUCAAAUACUGUCUUUAGAAAUUCAUAACGGCACAUUAUUAGGGGUGUUUGGCAAAGUACCAAAAUUACAUAUGUAUUUAACAUUUGACUCAGCUAUCCCUCUUCUAAGAAUAUUGACAUUUCCACAAGUCUUUUGAUAAAAACACAAAAUGGUAUAUGUACAAGUCUAUUCAUUAUGGCAUAAUUUCUUAGAUCAAAACUCUGGAAAAAGCCAAAUGUCUAUUAAUAGAAGACUAACUGAAUAAACUGUGGUCUGUCUACAUACUGUGGCACUUAGGCCACUGUAAAAAGGAAUGAAGGGGAUCCCUUGAUACCGAUGUGAUGUCACCUUCAGGUAUGGAGCAAUGUAUUGUGUUGAAAAGGAGAGCCUAUACCAAUAUGCACACAUGCUUGCUUAUAUGAACAUAUUGGGACAGAGGAGCCACGAGUGGCAAGAUAAUCUUUGAGUGACCCUCAUUUUGGAACCAAGUAAAUAUUUUAUAAAUUAAAAAAAAAGAAAAAGUAAUCCUCCAAAUUUAAAGUAAAUUGAAACGAACCUAAUAGUAUAUCAUGUUAGUGAUGGACUUUUUAAAACACAGGUUGCUGGCCUCACUUGAAGAAUUUCUGAUUCAGAGAUCUGGGGUGGAGGCCUAAGACUUUCAUUUCUAACAAGUUUUCAGAUAAUGCUGAUGCUGCUGGCCCAGAAUGGGGAGUUUGAGAACCACUGCUGUAGAAGUGCUAAGGUCUGAAUGUCUGUGUCCCUGCAAAAGUCACAUGUUGAAAUCCUAAUCCCUACAGAUGAUGGUAUUGGUGGGGGGUUGGGAAGUGACUAGGUCUUGAGUGUGGAGCCCUAGUGAAUGAGAUUAGUGCCCUUAUAAAAGAGGCCCCAGAGAGCGCCCUAGCCCUUGUACCUUGUGAGGAUACAAUGAAAAGUCUGUGACAGAAGAGGGCCUCACUUGAACCUUGCCAUGCUGGCACUCUGAUCUUGAACUUCCAGCCUCUAGAACUGUGAGUAAAACAUGUUUGUUGUUUAUAAGCUACUCACCCAGCUAUUUGGUAAUAGCAACCCAAGUGGAUUAAGAAGGGAUCCAGUUUCUUCCUUAUAACUAUGGCAUACUUGCAUAUUCAAUUAAUUUUUCUACAUAAAUUAAUCUCAUCAAAAAAAUUGGAGAAAGCUUUGGUUUUGUUCCUUGACUCUUUUAAACUUCGUUAAACAUUUCAAAAAAGGUUCUUUUAAAAAUUCUACUUUUUUACAAAAUAUUAACAGCAAAUGUAUAUAAAAUUAGGCUCAACCAUUUUCUUUAACAUCUUGACCUAAUUUUAGUUUUCUCCAGACUUGAGAAGAAUGAGCUCACCUUGAACCAGAGAGCUGCUGGUUCAGCUCUUGCUAUCUUGUAAAAGCUGACUGCUAAAUUUUCAGGAAUUUUGUGAGUUGACAUCUCAUUGGUAGCUUGAAAUUAGCCAUGGUGGGAGUAUUUAUAUUAUAGAAAUCAACAAGUGCUAUAAAUCAGAGCUUCUUCCCACUAGACAGCCAGUUCUUAAACAUACCAGGAUACUCUAGACCUGAAUUUUCUUGUCUUCCGUGAUGCUCAUAUAGGCUUGUGAGGCCUUCAAGACCAUCUACCUUUUUUUUUUCCCUUCUUCACAUUUUCUCUUUGAAUUAAUUAAAACUACGGUCUUUCUAUCCACUUGACCUCUUUCUGUGCUGUAUAGACUUUAAUGAGAAACCCAUGAAAGCUGUAGACUUUCUUAGAAUACACAUAUGCAAAUAAAAUUGUAUAUGCUGUUUCAAGAUGCUGUAUCAGUGGAUUUCUUGGAAUCCAUCAAAAGACACCCUAGGUAGAGGAGUUCCUGGACUGUCACUAACUUUCCGAAGGCUUUAGGCACCUUCAUAACUUGGCUCUGGUUUUCACCUGGGUUAAGGACAUCUGCUCAUAUUUUAGCUUUCUUUCUGGGUAGAGAUUGGGUUUUUCUCUAUUUCUUUCUGCUGACACCAUUCCUGUACCACCUGCCAGCUUUUUUGCAUUCUUACACCACGGGUACUGGCAUUUGGUUUGUUACACAGGCAGAGUUGGAAAACAAGAUUUGUAGUAACCUAUGUUCUAUUUCAGAACACCUUACUUUUCUUUUGUCUGGAGUAUUUUUUUACUCAUGCACUGGUCCUUUUCUUUUGCUCUUUGAAGCUAUGGGAUAUCUCAUUUCUUGUUAAGAUGUGUGCCCAACUUUCCCUUGGAACACAAAAAGCUUCAGCGUUCCCAUAAAUCUUAACUUUCUACCUCUGACAAAGACUUUCUUAUUUCAAGGACUCAAUAUUCUUUUCUUUAGCACUUAAAACAGACCAUAAUGUUGUUUUUAAGCAGUGGUAGAAAUGAAUUUCUCUAUAAUAAGUAUUUUAAUUCCAUGUUUUCACAUCCAACCUGAUCAUUUUCUCAGAACAAAGAAAGCUUAGUGCAGUGAAAAGAACUCAAGUUUUGGAAGUCAGAUUGUUGUAUUCUAACUUGGGAGUCUUUUGAGUAGUUAAUUAAUCUCUUUAACCUUAGUUUUCUCAACUAUAAUAGAAGAAGAAUAAUAUUUUCAUGUGAUUGUUGUGAAGACUGCAGUGUUUUCUAAAACUGUCUGAACUGAAACAAUUGAGUCAUUUGUUAAAAAGACAGAUUGUUAAGCUCGUGCCUGCUCUGGAGAGUUCAUUUUCAGUAGGUCUAGACAAGGCCUAUUAAAAAAUCAAUUCCCCAGGUGAUUUUUAUAUCACAGAAGUUCGGAAACACACCUCUCGUGUGUGUGUGUGUGUGUGUGUGUGUGUGUAGACAUUACUCCCUGAUUGAUGACAGCUUGCUUAUAUUAGUAAAUUCCAACUACUUUCCUAUUUAUUGCUGUGACAAAAAAUUAACACUGUAUUAGCUUAUAUUUUAAUUAAAUGAAGUAAAAUGAUGAUAAUAUACAUAUUAUCCACUGUAUAAUGGAUAAUGAUACAUAUUGUUUUUCAUUAAUAUUUUCAUAUAUGUGAGUUUUAUUUUCUGUUAAAUUUAAGCCAUUUAUCGGUGAAUAUAUUCCUCAACUCUGACUUAUGUAAUUCAAAC
rnacentral:lncRNA from 1 species